AACUCUGGGCAGUGACAACAUCGAAGCCAAUGAGGUUUAUCUGAAGCACCACUAUUGCUGACUGAAAACUUAUCCCACUUAGUGUGUGUGUGUGUGUGAAUUGCAUGUGCACACACUAAAGUUAUGGGUUAUCAUCAAAGGU